AGCGUCUUGAACUUUAGGGUCAAAUUGUGCUAAUUGGGUAACAAUUAAUUUUGAGUGACCUCUAGUGGUGCUUUCCCACAAUUUCCUUUCAAUUAGAUAAGUGGGAUCCCUAUUAGUAACAGAAUAUCAGGCUCUGUAUUUAAUAGCCUUUUCUCAUCAGCAGGGUAAAUAGUCCAGAGCUAGAUGGGGAGGCCACAUCACGGGUUUGCUUUUCUGCACAAAUCUCCUGAUAACUUGAUAGAGCACAUGAUGGAUUUUCCUUAUGCAUUCUUUUUUGCUCACUGAUCAUUCUACCUAGCACAGCUCUAUGUUGCAAAGCAGCCCACACCCCAGGACUUCGUUGUACGAAUAUGUCCAAGUGUGCCUCUGCAGGAAAAUGAAGAUGUGAUUUCACCAGAGCUAUAGCAGUGGGACUGCAGAAGCAGCUGUGGGUCAUGGCCUAUGGACUUGCACAGGAGGGUGAUGUGCAGGCUGCAAUUUGAAGAUCGGAAGAACAGAACUGUGACAGCAACAAGAGGGGGAUUUGCCAUCUUCAAACAGCGCUUUACAACCGCAACAGCCAAGAUGAGAAACUGAGGCACAAAUUGCUCCCAACACCCAGAUUUCCCAGAUUAUUUGGCUUGGAAAUAACAUUGAGGAUCAAUCACAGCCAUUUGGAGACAGACCCAGAAUGCACCACAGAAGUGCUGUGAAUCCUUCUUCAUUUCUUGGCUGAAGUGGCAACCAGAUCCUCAGCAUCCUCACCCAAGUUUGCGCCCUCAACACAGCGUGGCCCUCUGCCAGCUGGGUAGCCCAUGAACAUCGAUACCUUACAUCGUUGCAUCAGCACAGCAUGAAGCACCAGCAGGUAAGACGAGGAUAGAGCACUUGCUCAGAGGAUGGUUUUUCACUCGGUACUGCUGUGCCCAGGACCAGGCUCCAAAAGCAAGCACAAGGGAACUCGUUAAGUACAACAGGAUGCGAUUAGUCCCACAUGGGGAGCUCAUGUGUUAUAUCAAAAGAAACAACAACCAGCUGGUAGAACUACUUACAUCAAGGAAAGGAAUGGUGAGGAGGAGAGCUGAGGAGAGCAGUGACCACCAGGAGAGCGAGUACUGGGUAUGAGACAAGAAGCUUUUGGAUCUACGUGGGCAUGACUGCACCCCGGUCAAGGGGACAACGUGACACACAAAGGAGGUGACCCUGCAGCGUGACAGAUCUGAAUGCACGGAGUACAGAUGGAGCAUCUCCGAGGGAAGUGGUCUGAGGAAUCACAAGUGAAAUUGAUGAGAACUUGACGCAACACCAAGCACUUCUAUCCGAAUUUCAAUGGAAAUUCCAAGCAAAGCAGGUUGGAUGACAAGCACACGAACACCGACCUUGGGAAGAGCAACUAUGCAUGUUGGUGGUAGGACAUAAGUGCUGCACAGCCCCUUCCAGGAGCACCUGGAGAUGCUUCCGGAAGACUCUGCCUGGACACAGUGUGCUGCUUGACCACAUCUGCCUGUUGUAAAGUGAAGUACCUAAAGCAAGCCAAAUUCAUGGAAGGGGAAGCACUUAUUUAGUGCAAUUUAGCAGUCACCUGUGCACCUGGGAAAUCUGCUUGGUGCUAAAGGUUUGCCUGAGCCCUGGUUCUGUGAGGAUAAAUGAGGACGUGUGUUGGGCAAGAGCAGCAGGAGGCAGCCAGAUCUGCACUGAGCUAACCUCAUCCCACCCAGUAUGCAAGAAAUGUAUCUGUGAAGAACUACUCGUACAACUGUGUUCAUCAGCAAAGACUUACAUUAGUGCACAGCUUCCAUUACGCCUAACUGAAACCAAAGAGAGUCAGCUCGUCUUGGACUUCAUAGCAGAGCCCAGUGAGGAUGAAAGAUCACCCCUUGUUAACAGCAAGGGGCUAAUAGGAGACUGGUGUCAGCAGCAGC
ensembl:lncRNA